rnacentral:tRNA from 1 species
UGGGGCGUCGCCAAGCGGUAAGGCAGCAGGUUUUGAUCCUGCCAUGCGGUGGUUCGAAUCCAUCCGCCCCAGCCA